UUGUACAGGUGCUGCAUGGCUGUCGUCAGCUCGUGUCGUGAGAUGUCGGUUAAGUCCGCUAACGAGCGCAACCCUCGCUGUGUGUUACAAGUGUCACACGGAACUGCCGGUCAUAAACCGGAGGAAGGUGGGGAUGACGUCAAGUCAGCAUGGCCUUUAUAUCCUGGGCUACACACACGCUACAAUGGGAAGGGACAAUAGGUUGCGAAGCCGCGAGGCGGAGCCAAUCCAGCAAAACUUCCCUCAGUUCAGAUUGCAGGCUGCAACUCGCCUGCAUGAAGUUGGAGUUGCUAGUAAACGCAGGUCAGCCAUACUGCGUUGAAUACGUUCCCGGGGCUU
rnacentral:rRNA from 1 species